GAACUAAUAACUUAAUAGGAUAAAGGACUUCUCUGUCACAGAAGUAGAUGUCCGUUCGAAUCGGAUUUAGUUCG
rfam:Cordyceps confragosa RCEF 1005 scaffold_122, whole genome shotgun sequence.